rnacentral:rRNA from 1 species
UGGAGAAUCCCGUGAACCAUCGAGUCUCUGAACGCAAGUUGCGCCUGAAGCCAUUAAGUCGAUGACGCACCUGCCUGGACGUCACACGCCGUUGCCCCCCCGUCACCUCUCUUGGAAGCGUCGGUGGGCAGACGAUGGCUUUCAGUGUAUCACCACGCGUGAGUGGCACAAAUGUUUAGUCAUUGGCAACAAACGCCACGACAAUCAUUUGUUGUCAAACCUCGGUUGCCUGUUAUGCACUUUCACUGAGCUCUGGGUGGCUCACGAUGCUCACUGCUCUGCUUCAACGGAGUCUUCAACUCGACCCCAGGUCAGGCAAGGUUACCCGUUAAAUUUAA